UACGUAGGUGGCAAGCGUUGUCCGGAUUUACUGGGCGUAAAGGGCGUGUAGGCGGCGGCGUAAGUGUCGAGUGAAAUCCCAUCGCUCAACGAUGGAACGGCUCGGCAAACUGCGUCGCUUGAGGUCGGUAGAGGUGCCUGGAACUCUAGGUGGAGCGGUGAAAUGCGUAGAUAUCUAGAGGAACGCCAGGAGGCGAAAGCGGGGCACUGGGCCGAAUCUGACGCUGGACACGCGAAAGCGUGGGGAGCAAACAGG
rnacentral:rRNA from 1 species